rnacentral:rRNA from 1 species
AACCUACCUAUCAAGACGGGGAAUAACCCGGCGAAAGUCGGACUAAUACCGCAUAAAACAGGGGCACCGCAUGGUGAAUAUUUGUUAAAGAAAUUCGCUGAUAGAUGGGCAUGCGUUCCAUUAGGUAGUUGGUGAGGUAACGGCUCACCAAGCCGACGAUGGAUAGGGGAACUGAGAGGUUGGUCCCCCACACUGGUACUGAGACACGGACCAGACUCCUACGGGAGGCAGCAGUGAGGAAUAUUGGUCAAUGGGCGGGAGCCUGAACCAGCCAAGUCGCGUGAAAGGAAGAAGGAUCUAUGGUUCGUAAACUUCUUUUGCUAGGGGAAUAAAGUGCAGGACGUGUCCUGUUUUGUAUGUACCCUGAGAAUAAGGAUCGGCUAACUCCGUGCCAGCCGCUGC